rnacentral:tRNA from 1 species
UGCGGGAUUGUGUAACGGUAGCACCCAUGACUCUGGAUCAUGUUGUCCAGGUUCGAAUCCUGGUCCCGCAG